rnacentral:rRNA from 1 species
AGACCCGAAACCCGGUGAUCUAGCCAUGGGCAGGUUGAAGGUUGGGUAACACUAACUGGAGGACCGAACCGACUAAUGUUGAAAAAUUAGCGGAUGACCUGUGGCUGGGGGUGAAAGGCCAAUCAAACCGGGAGAUAGCUGGUUCUCCCCGAAAGCUAUUUAGGUAGCGCCUCGUGAAUUCAUCUCCGGGGGUAGAGCACUGUUUCGGCUAGGGGGCCAUCCCGGCUUACCAACCCGAUGCAAACUGCGAAUACCGGAGAAUGUUAUCACGGGAGACACACGGCGGGUGCUAACGUCCGUCGUGAAGAGGGAAACAACCCAGACCGCCAGCUAAGGUCCCAAAGUCAUGGUUAAGUGGGAAACGAUGUGGGAAGGCCCAGACAGCCAGGAUGUUGGCUUAGAAGCAGCCAUCAUUUAAAGAAAGCGUAAUAGCUCACUGGUCGAGUCGGCCUGCGCGGAAGAUGUAACGGGGCUAAACCAUGCACCGAAGCUGCGGCAGCGACACUCAGGUGUUGUUGGGUAGGGGAGCGUUCUGUAAGCCUGUGAAGGUGUGUCGUGAGGCAUGCUGGAGGUAUCAGAAGUGCGAAUGCUGACAUAAGUAACGAUAAAGCGGGUGAAAAGCCCGCUCGCCGGAAGACCAAGGGUUCCUGUCCAACGUUAAUCGGGGCAGGGUGAGUCGACCCCUAAGGCGAGGCCGAAAGGCGUAGUCGAUGGGAAACGGGUUAAUAUUCCCGUACUUGGUGUUACUGCGAAGGGGGGACGGAGAAGGCUAUGUUGGCCGGGCGACGGUUGUCCCGGUUUAAGCGUGUAGGCUGGUUUUCCAGGCAAAUCCGGAAAAUCAAGGCUGAGGCGUGACGACGAGGCACUACGGUGCUGAAGCAACAAAUGCCCUGCUUCCAGGAAAAGCCUCUAAGCAUCAGGUAACAUCAAAUCGUACCCCAAACCGACACAGGUGGUCAGGUAGAGAAUACCAAGGCGCUUGAGAGAACUCGGGUGAAGGAACUAGGCAAAAUGGUGCCGUAACUUCGGGAGAAGGCACGCUGACACGUAGGUGAAGUGAUUUACUCAUGGAGCUGAAGUCAGUCGAAGAUACCAGCUGGCUGCAACUGUUUAUUAAAAACACAGCACUGUGCAAACACGAAAGUGGACGUAUACGGUGUGACGCCUGCCCGGUGCCGGAAGGUUAAUUGAUGGGGUCAGCGCAAGCGAAGCUCCUGAUCGAAGCCCCGGUAAACGGCGGCCGUAACUAUAACGGUCCUAAGGUAGCGAAAUUCCUUGUCGGGUAAGUUCCGACCUGCACGAAUGGCGUAAUGAUGGCCAGGCUGUCUCCACCCGAGACUCAGUGAAAUUGAACUCGCUGUGAAGAUGCAGUGUACCCGCGGCAAGACGGAAAGACCCCGUGAACCUUUACUAUAGCUUGACACUGAACAUUGAGCCUUGAUGUGUAGGAUAGGUGGGAGGCUUUGAAGUGUGGACGCCAGUCUGC